CGGACGGGUGAGUAACACGUGGGUUAUCUACCUUGAGGUGAGGAAUACCAGGCGAGAAAUCGCCGAACAAAAACCGCAUACGUUUGGAGACAAACAAAGUUCCGGCAACGGGACGCCACAAGAUGAGCCUGCGGCCGAUUAGGCUAGUUGGUGGGGUAAAAGCCUACCAAGGCGACGAUCGGUAGCUGGUCUGAGAGGACGAUCAGCCACACUGGGAUUGAGAACGGCCCAGACUCCUACGGGGGGCAGCAGUGAGGAAUUUUCGUUAAUGGGGGCAACCCUGAACGAGCAACGCCGCGUGCAGGAAGAAGGUUUUCGGAUCGUAAACUGCUUUUCUUAGGGAAGAGUACGGACGGUACCUAAGGAAGAAGCCCCGGCUAACUACGUGCCAGCCGCCGCGG
rnacentral:rRNA from 1 species